AUGAUGAUGCACCGUGCUACGAUCAUCGCGAUGAUCUGCUGCCUCGUGGCCGGCGGCGGGGCGCGCGCGCAGCCGUUCGACUACCCGGCGGCGAGGUUCGCCACGACCUGGGCCAACACGGACGCCGCCCUGCCGCACCACGUCGUCUACACCGACGGCUCCGUGGCGCGCGCAGCCCUGCUGCGGCUCAACCCGGCGGGCCUCGGCCCCUCCUACGCCUUCGGCUUCUUCUGCGCCGCCAACAGCCCCCGCGGCGACGGCACCGCGGCCCCGUGCACGGAGUUCCUGCUCGGCGUCGCCGUCGUGUACUGCAACAGCGGCGCGGGCAUGACGUUCGUCACGGCCGGCGUCCCGCAGGUCGUCUGGUCGGCCAACCGCGGCAGCCCCGUCAGGGAGGGCGCCACCACGGAGCUCACGCCGGAGGGCGACCUGGUUCUGAGGUCGGGCCCCGGCGGAGCGGUCUUGUGGUCCACUGGCACCAAGGGCCGCUCCGUCGCCGGGGCGCGCAUCGGCAGCGACGGCAACCUGGUGCUGUUCGAUGGGCGCAACGCCACGGUGUGGCAGUCGUUCGACCACCCCACGAAUGCGCUCCUCGUCGGGCAGUCGCUGAAGCACGGCGCUCGGCUCACCGCCAACGUGUCGGCCGCGGACUGGCGCGAUAGCAGGCUCUACCUCGCCGUCGACGACGAUGGACUGAACGCCUACGUCAACGCCGCGCCGCCGCAGCGCUACUACCACCUCCGCCUCAGCGAGACCUCACCCGGCGCCUACGCAACGUACACCAAUGGCAGCCUCACGGUGUCCGCCCGGCCCGGAGCGCCGCCACUGGCAGCCAUCGAGCUGCCCACCGUCGGCGCCGGCACGGUGCAGUACAUGCGGCUGGAGCACGACGGCCACCUCCGGAUCUACGAGUGGCGCUCGGGCUGGGCGCCGGUGUACGACGUGCUGCGCCUCUUCCCGGACGGCGGCUGCGCAUUUCCGACAGCGUGCGGCGCGUACGGCGUGUGCACGGACGACACGCAGUGCAGCUGCCCCGACGCGGCCAACUUCCGGCCGGUGGACUUCCGGAGGCCCAACCGCGGCUGCGUCCCGACGCCGCCGCCUCCAACGUCGUGCCGCCCGUCGCGGCGGCCACGCACGCAGCACCGGCUGGUGUCGCUGCCGGGCACAACCUACUUCAACGACCACACCACGAGCAUGCGGGCCGUGGAGCGAGUGAGCGAGGAGGCGUGCAAGAAGGCGUGCCUGGACGACUGCGCUUGCGCGGCGGCGCAGUUCUACUACGGCCCCGACGCCGGCGACGGGUCAUGCUACCUGCAGUCGGAGGUGUUCUCGAUGCAGACGGUGCAGCCGGAGGUGGUGCACUACAACUCCACCAUGCAUAUCAAGGUGCAGGCCAAGCCUGCUAGGAACUGA
rnacentral:rRNA from 1 species